GGGGGGGGGGGGGGGGGGGGGGGGGGGGGGGGGGGAGGGGGGGGGGGGGGGAGGUGGGUGGGGGGGAUGAGUGGGGAACGGGUGAGUGACGGGUGGGGAACCUGCCUGGGAGCGGGGGAUAAGUAUUGGAAACGAUGGCGAAUGCCGCAUAACAGGAGAGGUUGCAUGACAUUAGCUUAAACGGAGCAAUUGCAUCACUAUCAGAUGGACGUGCGUUGUAGUAGCGAGUGGGUGAGGUUACGGCUCACCAAGUGGACGAUACAUCUCCGACCUGAGAUGGUGAUCGGCCACACUGGGACUGAGACACGGCCCAGACUCCUACGGGAGGCAGCAGUAGGGAAUCUUCGGCAAUGGACGGAAGUCUGACCGAGCAACGCCGCGUGAGUGAAGAAGGUUUUCGGAUCGUAAAGCUCUGUUUUAAGAGAAGAACGAGUGUGAGAGUGGAAAGUUCACACUGUGACGGUAUCUUACCAGAAAGGGACGGCUAACUACGUG
rnacentral:rRNA from 1 species